UGACUCAGACGGUAGAGAAUCUGCCUGCAAUGCAGGAGACCCAGGUUCGAUCCCUGG
rnacentral:tRNA from 1 species